GUACACGCUGUGACUAGCAUAUCAAUAAGCGGAGGAAAAGAAACUAACAAGGAUUCCCCUAGUAACGGCGAGUGAAGCGGGAAGAGCUCAAAUUUGAAAUCUUAAAGGGUUUCCCUUUACGAAUUGUAGUUUAAAGAAGUGUUUUCUGUUGAGGUUUUGGUAAAAGUUCUUUGGAAUAGGACAUCAUAGAGGGUGAGAAUCCCGUAUUUGACCUUUACUUUCAACUUUGUGAUACACUUUCAAAGAGUCGGAUUGUUUGGGAAUGCAGUCCAAAAUGGGUGGUAAAUUUCAUCUAAAGCUAAAUAUUGGCGAGAGACCGAUAGCGAACAAGUACCGUGAGGGAAAGAUGAAAAGAACUUUGAAAAGAGAGUUAAGCAGUACGUGAAAUUGUCAAAAGGGAAGCGUUUGACACCAGUGUUGUUUUUCUGAAAAUCAAUUAAAGAACUGUUUAUGCUAAGUUGUUUAGACUUUAUCAGCUAACUGUUUAGUUUUGAGCAUUUCUUUAAUGCACUUUUCAGUUAACAAGUCAACAUCAAUUUCUUUUGCUGUAAAAAAGCUUGAGGAAGGUGGCUUGAGAUUCGUCUUAAGUGUUUAUAGCCUCUUGCCUAUGCAGUCGGAGAGAUUGAGGUCUGCAGCGUAGAUCCUUCGGGGCUAAAUGCAUUUGUGCUAAGUUAUAGCAUUUUAUAGACAACUUGUUGACUAUGAUUUGUCUUGUAGCUUACUCGCUUAUGUUAUUUUACCUACGCUUAGGAUGUUGACGCGCGUGUGUGCGUG
rnacentral:rRNA from 1 species